UACGUAGGGGGCAAGCGUUGUCCGGAAUUAUUGGGCGUAAAGAGCGCGUAGGCGGUCCGAUAAGUCGGCUGUGAAAGUCAGGGGCUCAACCCUUGAAAGCCGGCCGAUACUGUCGGACUAGAGUCCGGAAGAGGCAAGUGGAAUUCCCGGUGUAGCGGUGAAAUGCGCAGAUAUCGGGAGGAACACCAAUGGCGAAGGCAGCUUGCUGGGACGGUACUGACGCUGAGGCGCGAAAGCGUGGGGAGCAAACAGGA
rnacentral:rRNA from 1 species